rnacentral:tRNA from 1 species
UUGGGUAUGGCUCAGGUGGUAGAGCACCUGCCUAAUAAGCAGGAGACCCUGACUUUAAACUCUAGUACUGCAAA